UCGGACGUGGUGUAUAGCACACCGCCGGCUGCUAGUAUACCCCACCGAAGGGCUUCAAAAGUUGACUGGCAGUUCGGGGUUCGACUCCCCGCGUCCGAA